rnacentral:rRNA from 1 species
GGUGGCAGCAGUCGAGAAUCUUCACAAUUGGGGGACCCUGAUGUGCGACGCCGCGUGGGGAGGGAGGUCUUCGGAUUGUAAACCCCUGUCAUGCAGGAGCAAGGCUGAAAAGUUGAUAGUACUGCAAGAGGAAGAGACGGCAAACUCUGUGCCAGCAGCCGCGGUAAUACAGAGGUCUCAAGCGUUGUUCGGAAUCACUGGGCGUAAAGGGUACGUAGGCGGCGGGGCAAGUUGCGCGUGAAAGGCAGGGGCUCAACCUCUGGAAUGCGCGUGAAACUACCUAGCUAGAGUAAUGGAGGGGGAACCGGAAUUCUUGGUGUAGCAGUGAAAUGCGUAGAUAUCAAGAAGAAGACUCGUGGCGAAGGCGGGUUCCUGGACAUUAACUGACGCUGAGGUACGAAGGCCGGGGUAGCGAAAGGGAUUAGAUACCCCUGUAGUCCCGGCAGUAAACGGUGCACGCUUGGUGUGGGAGGAAUCGACCCCUUCCGUGCCGGAGCCAACGCGAUAAGCGUGCCGCCUGGGGAGUACGGUCGCAAGAUUAAAACUCAAAGAAAUUGACGGGGACCCGCACAAGCGGUGGAGUAUGUGGCUUAAUUCGACGCAACGCGAAGAACCUUAACAGUUGCUGACAUCCCCCUGACGGGGCGGCAAAGCGCCUUUUCCUUCGGGACAGGGGAGACAGGUGGUGCAUGGUUGUCGUCAGCUCGUGUCGUGAGAUGUUGGGUUAAGUCCCGCAACGAGCGCAACCCCUAUUUUCAGUAGCCAGCGGAGAAAGCCGGGCACUCUGGGAAGACUGCCGGGGAUAACCCGGAGGAAGGUGGGGAUGACGUCAAAUCAUCAGGCCCCUUAUGAUCUGGGCGACACACGUGCUACAAUGGCGUAAACAGAGGGAAGCGAGGCCGAGAGGCGGAGCGAAUCCGAAAAAUAACGUCCCAGUUCGGAUUGUAGUCUGCAACCCGACUACAUGAAGCUGGAAUCGCUAGUAAUCGCGGAUCAGAAUGCCGCGGUGAAUACGUUCCCGGGUCUUGUACACACCGCCCGUCACACCAUGGGAGUCAGAAAUGCCCGAAGUCUGUGACCGAACCGAGAGGGAGGAGCAGCCGAAGGCAGGUCUGGUGACUGGGGUGAAGUCGUAACAAGGUAG